rnacentral:rRNA from 1 species
UACGUAGGUGGCGAGCGUUGUUCGGAUUUAUUGGGCGUAAAGGGUUCGUAGGAGGUUGGGUAAAUUUGACGUGAAAUCCCGGAGCUCAACUCUGGAACUGCGUUGGAGACUGCCCGACUAGAGGAUUGGAGAGGUAAGCGGAAUACCAGGUGUAGCGGUGGAAUGCGUAGAUAUCUGGUAGAACACCAAAAGCGAAGGCAGCUUACUGGACAAUAACUGACUCUGAAGGACGAAAGCGUGGGGAGCAAACAGGAUUAGAUACCCUGGUAGUCCACGCCGUAAACGUUGUCAACUUGAUGUGGGGGGAUUUAACCCCCUCCGUAUCGAAGCUAACGCGAUAAGUUGACCGCCUGGGGACUACGGCCGCAAGGCUAAA